rnacentral:rRNA from 1 species
CCUACGGGUGGCUGCAGUGGGGAAUAUUGGACAAUGGGGGCAACCCUGAUCCAGCCAUGCCGCGUGUGUGAAGAAGGCCCUCGGGUUGUAAAGCACUUUCAGUGAGGAAGAACGCCUGGUGGUUAAUACCCAUCAGGAAAGACAUCACUCACAGAAGAAGCACCGGCUAACUCCGUGCCAGCAGCCGCGGUAAUACGGAGGGUGCGAGCGUUAAUCGGAAUUACUGGGCGUAAAGCGCGCGUAGGUGGCUUGAUAAGCCGGUUGUGAAAGCCCCGGGCUCAACCUGGGAACGGCAUCCGGAACUGUCAAGCUAGAGUGCAAGAGAGGAAGGUAGAAUUCCCGGUGUAGCGGUGAAAUGCGUAGAGAUCGGGAGGAAUACCAGUGGCGAAGGCGGCCUUCUGGACUGACACUGACACUGAGGUGCGAAAGCGUGGGUAGCAAACAGGAUUAGAUACCCUUGUAGUC